CAGUAGCCGCGGGAAUACGGAGGGUGCAAGCGUUAAUCGGAAUUACUGGGCGUAAAGCGCACGCAGGCGGUCUGACAAGUCAGAUGUGAAAUCCCCGGGCUUAACCUGGGAACUGCAUUUGAAACUGUCGGGCUGGAGUCUUGUAGAGGGGGGUGGAAUUCCAGGUGUAGCGGUGAAAUGCGUAGAGAUCUGGAGGAAUACCGGUGGCGAAGGCGGCCCCCUGGACAAAGACUGACGCUCAGGUGCGAAAGCGUGGGGAGCAAACAGGAUUAGAGACCCCUGUAGUCCCUGUCUCUUAUAC
rnacentral:rRNA from 1 species